UUUCUUCUUUGUUUUGAGAUCAGAGCAGUUUCUCUCAGAUAUUUAGGGAGAUGGAAGAUGCUUUCUCUCUCCAAGAAUGGACUUCUUGAAAUGUGAACAUUUGUUUGCAGCAGCUCGGAAGUAGGAUUGACAACUGCUCUCAGUUUCUUUUCAACUCGCUGCUGUAACCACAGUCUCACAAUAAACAAAGGAUUCUAGAAAAGCAGGGGCUGCCAUUUUCCUGAUGAUUCAGAUGGGACCUCCUGCUGAGAAGUAAAUUGAGAAUAAGGAAAUGCAGCUCAUCAUGGGUUGCUAUGAAAAGAGACCAGCAAAGUCAGUGCAAGCUGCCUGCCUUAAACAUCCCAUCUGUGGCUUCUACUAGGUGAGCGCAGAGGCACUUCUUUGGUAAAAUAGCUGUUGCAGUGAUUUGAGGUAAAUGAAUUUUUCAUGCAGGCUCUUUCUGUGGGAUUGCUGGUGCAAUAUUCACAUGAAAAGCAUAUUCCUGGCAAAAUUGCCAUGAUCCAAGGAAACCAUCAGAGUGACUGACAAUGAAUGACACAGAAUGAAUAACAAUAAGUUGGUUAAGGUAGGCUUCAAUUCAAGCUUUGUGAGUGUUUAAGCUUGAUCCUUGCACAAUAGCUGCAGUCUCUGAGAUAGAUCCAAAUGACAAUAGUAUCUGGCUGGUUCCAAAGUGAAUCCCACAGCACAUACAUGCAGCCUUUCCUGAUUUACAUGGUAUAAUGUUGAAGCACCUGCAUCAUACAGGUGAGGUGUUUCAACAUUAUGCCUUGUAAAUCAGGACAGAGCGUGGCAAAUUAGAACUCACUUGUUCUACAAUAACAGCUGCUCCCCAGCUUCUCCGUCACUCCAGUUUAUCUACAGUAGACAACACAGGAUGCUGAAAUAUUCAUCAUUAAUAAGGAUGUGGAGAGCAAAGGGCAUUUCUCACUGUUGAAAUGAAGCAAAAGGUCUAAGCAUUCAUCCUAAUUAAAGAAGAAGUAGAAUUGUGUAAGGAAUGUAGAAGUCAGGUAGGAGACUGCACCAUCUGUUAGGGUUCUUUUAUUGCCUCUUCUAAAACCAAGAAUGUGAGGAAAAAUACAGGCAGUGAGUAUGAAAAGCCACAGAGUUAGAUUCAGUUCUGCCACCGCAGGGAGUGCAGGGCUUGACCACUGCUGCCACCCUAUGCCAGGGAGGAUGUGUCCCUUGGGGGAUGGAGUUCUAUGGGGGGAGAGGAUGAGCUGAUGGUGGGAAAGGGUGGGGCUUAGUGGACAGGAAUGGACAGGGUCUCCCCUGCCCCCGCUACCUGGGAUCUCAAGGUCAGAUUGCACAACUGGGGAUAGCCUGCGGAUAGCCUGUGGGCCGGGUGUUUGAGACAUUUGAUCUAAAGAAAACAUAACUCUAAUGUUGUAUAGACAAGAGUUCACAAAGCAUUUAACACGUGAUAUAUAAAUUGUCUUUGCACAUAUCAAGUGGCUAUAAUCAUUCAGGAAUGUGCUGCUUUCAGUGUCUUAUUGCUGUCAUGACCUGGAAAUUUACAUUAAAAAAAAAAAGUCUCCCGGUGAAUUUAGUGAUCUGCUCAGAAGGGUUUGACUUUGAUGGAAACAAAUCACCCUGUGAUUAGCACUAUGUUUGGUCAGUUGCAUGUUGAAAACUAUUACAAAUUUGCAAGCAAGCUAGGGAGCUCAGUGGAGAUGUGUGUGUUCUCGGUCUAGCACCCAUCAGUCUGCAGGCAGCCCACCUAGCUAGAGUAAGGUGGGAAUGAGUUGUGCUUUUGAGAUCAGUUUGCUUUGUCUCUCUGUGUUUUGGGUUCUUGUGUGUUAUUCUGAAUGCUAAGGAAUAAAGUACUUUUAUGUUGCAACCUUUCAGCAAGAGCGCUGUAUGCUUUUAAGUUAAUUUCUAUGUGCAUGUCAUGAACAUGACAGAGAAAACUGGUAAUGAGAAUGGUAUUAGAGAGAGUUAGGAAAGAGAAAAGAUAAAGGUGCUACAUACGGCAAUUUGGGCAGUUUCUAAUUUAAAGAAGAAA